UACUCGAGUGGCGAACGGGUGAGUAACACGUGGGUGAUCUGCCCUGCACUUCGGGAUAAGCUUGGGAAACUGGGUCUAAUACCGGAUAGGAGCAAUCUUUAGUGUGGUGGUUGGAAAGUUUUUUCGGUGUAGGAUGAGCUCGCGGCCUAUCAGCUUGUUGGUGGGGUAAUGGCCUACCAAGGCGGCGACGGGUAGCCGGCCUGAGAGGGUGUACGGCCACAUUGGGACUGAGAUACGGCCCAG
rnacentral:rRNA from 1 species